GAUUUAUCCAUUUAUGCUAUUAGUAAAUUUUAAUUAAUUUAAAUUAAUUAAAUAAAACCAGCAUAAUUACCAGUUAUGUAGAUAUUCUCAUCAGAUGAGUAGAUAGUCCAAGGAACUUGAUUGGUUAUAUGGAGGUGCGUGAGUGAUAGAGAAAAGUGGUGUUGGUUAGAAAGUAUCAGUAAAUUUUAAGUGUCAAGGAGUUUAAAAGAGUUGAGUGUCCAAGAGUUUGAGUAGAGUGUUAGUCCCAGAGAAUUUUUCAUGAGUCUCUCCCUCUGCAUGUCCGAAUCGGAAUUCCCCAAACUUCACCUCGUCUCUCUACCAACUAACUUCUCUUCCCUUUGUCCUAACUUUUAAAGGGCCAGACUCUCUGUACGUCAUUAGUUGAUAAACCAAUAGGAAACCGUAGAUGUGUUCAAUCUAUGGAUCGAAAUUUAGGUAUUUG